UCACUGCCAAAGUUGCCGGUAAGGAGUGAUCAGCCACAGCUAAGCCUGAAAAUUCAGAGAAGAAGCUAGUUAGUCUCCGUGAGUCAGAAUCUACAGUGAAGGUAGAGUAGGAAAAUCACUACGGUUAGGAACAAAAUUGACCAUUUGUACAGUUGAAUGGCGAUCUAGUGAUAGUUAAAACCCAGAGUACAUACGCAUAUACAUUACAUCCACACGAAGGUUAGGAUAUAACAUUGAGGUUUCAGCAAAGAAUUAUUAUUGAUCUCUGCUGAAACAAGUCGAAUUAACCAGUAUUAUUUUUACAAGGUACUGAAUAUAUAGUAGCACAAUGUACAAAAAUCAAUUUAGAUCCCCAUUUUGAGCCAUAAGAUUAUUUUC
rnacentral:lncRNA from 1 species